rnacentral:rRNA from 1 species
GACAAACGGAUCGAGUUAAAAGAAAUGAUAGUGUAAAAGGGGGUUAAGAAUUUUUGAGACGAAAAAUGAUGCUUUUUAUGGGGGUAGAAUUUGUGUAAAAAGAGAUAAUUUUAUUUUUUCUUAGUUUGAGGCCCCGAAAUUUUGUUAUGAGACCGGGAUUAGAUACCCCGUUAUUCAAAAUGUAAACGUUGAUUGUGAAUUAAUUUACUUGAGUAUUAUGAGUGCUAGAGGAAAAACAUCUUUAUACAUUGCUUAAAACUCAAAAAACUUGGCGGUGCCUUAUAUCCUUCCAGGGGAACCUGUCCUAUAAUCGAUAGUCCACGUUUUAGCUUUCUUUUUUUUGAAUACAUCAGCUUGUAUACCGUCGUCGUCGGGUUACUUUUAAGAGUCGUGAAGUUAUCAGCAGGAAUAAAAUAUGAAUAUUAAUUAUAUAAUUGGUAUUUAUAUAGUUGUUCUAGACGUCAGAUCAAGGUGCAGCCUAUGGAAAAGAAGAGAUGGGUUACAGUAAUUAAGUUAUUAUUACGGAUCUUUGUUGUAAUAAGCAUAGUUGAAGGAGGACUUGGAAGUAAUUUUGAGAUAAGAGAGCUUAAAUGAAAAAAGGCUCUGAGGUGCGC